UACGAAGGUGGCAAGCGUUACUCGGAAUUACUAGGCGUAAAGCGUAGGUAGGUGGUUGGGAAAGUCUGCUGUGAAAGCUCCUGGCUUAACUGGGAGAGGUCAGCGGAAACUCCUCAACUUGAGUGUAGGAGAGGGUACUGGAAUUCCCGGAGUAGCGGUGAAAUGCGCAGAGAUCGGGAGGAACACCAAAGGCGAAAGCAGGUACCUGGACUAUUACUGACACUAAGCUACGAAAGCUAGGGGAGCAAACAGG
rnacentral:misc_RNA from 1 species